UACAGAGGUCCCGAGCGUUGUUCGGAUUCAUUGGGCGUAAAGGGUGCGUAGGCGGCAUGGCAAGUCGGGUGUGAAAUCCCGGGGCUCAACCCCGGAACUGCACUCGAUACUGUCGUGCUAGAGUGUUGGAGAGGAGACUGGAAUUUACGGUGUAGCAGUGAAAUGCGUAGAUAUCGUAAGGAAGACCGGUGGCGAAAGCUAGUCUCUGGACAACUACUGACGCUGAGGCACGAAGGCUAGGGGAGCAAACGGG
rnacentral:rRNA from 1 species